UGUGCGUCGUAGUCCGGAUUGGAGUCUGCAACUCGACUCCAUGAAGUCGGAAUCGCUAGUAAUCGUGGAUCAGAAUGCCACGGUGAAUACGUUCCCGGGCCUUGUACACACCGCCCGUCACACCAUGGGAGUGGGUUGCAAAAGAAGUAGGUAGCUUAACCUUCGGGAGGGCGCUUACCACUUUGUGAUUCAUGACUGGGGUGAAGUCGUAACAAGGUAACCGUAGGGGAACCUGCGGUUGGAUCACCUCCUUA
rnacentral:rRNA from 1 species